rnacentral:rRNA from 1 species
UAUACGACCGUACCGCAAACCGACACUGGUGCGCGAGAUGAGUAUUCUAAGGCGCUUGAGAGAACUCAGGAGAAGGAACUCGGCAAAUUGACACCGUAACUUCGGAAGAAGGUGUGCCCUAUUAGUGUGUAGUGAACAACGAAGCAUGAAUGGGUUGCAAAAAAUCGGUGGCUGCGACUGUUUAUUAAAAACACAGCACUCUGCAAACACGAAAGUGGACGUAGGGUGUGACGCCUGCCCGGUGCUGGAAGAUUAAAUGAUGGGGUGCAAGCUCUUGAUUGAAGUCCCAGUAAACGGCGGCCGUAACAAUAACGGUCCUAAGGUAGCGAAAUUCCUUGUCGGGUAAGUUCCGACCUGCACGAAUGGCGUAACGAUGGCCACACUGUCUCCUCCUGAGACUCAGCGAAGUUGAAAUGUUUGUGAUGAUGCAAUCUCCCCGCGGAAAGACGGAAAGACCCCAUGAACCUUUACUGUAGCUUUGUAUUGGACUUUGAACAGAUCUGUGUAGGAUAGGUGGGAGGCUUUGAAGCAGGGUCGCUAGAUCUUGUGGAGCCAACGUUGAAAUACCACCCUGGUGUGUUUGAGGUUCUAACCUAGGUCCAUUAUCUGGAUCGGGGACAGUGCAUGGUAGGCAGUUUGACUGGGGCGGUCUCCUCCCAAAGCGUAACGGAGGAGUUCGAAGGUACGCUAGUUACGGUCGGACAUCGUGACGAUAGUGCAAUGGCAUAAGCGUGCUUAACUGCGAGACUGACAAGUCGAGCAGAUGCGAAAGCAGGACAUAGUGAUCCGGUGGUUCUGUAUGGAAGGGCCAUCGCUCAACGGAUAAAAGGUACUCUGGGGAUAACAGGCUGAUACCGCCCAAGAGUUCAUAUCGACGGCGGUGUUUGGCACCUCGAUGUCGGCUCAUCUCAUCCUGGGGCUGUAGCCGGUCCCAAGGGUAUGGCUGUUCGCCAUUUAAAGAGGUACGUGAGCUGGGUUUAAAACGUCGUGAGACAGUUUGGUCCCUAUCUUCCGUGGGCGCUGCAGAUUUGAGGAAGCCUGCUCCUAGUACGAGAGGACCGGAGUGGACACACCUCUGGUGUAUCGGUUGUCACGCCAGUGGCAUUGCCGAGUAGCUAAGUGUGGAAGAGAUAACCGCUGAAAGCAUCUAAGCGGGAAACUCGUUUCAAGAUGAGAUCUGCCGGGGCCUUGAGCCCCCUAAAGAGUCGUUCAAGACCAGGACGUUGAUAGGUCAGGUGUGGAAGC